UACGUAGGCAGCAAGCGUUGUUCGGAGUUAUUGGGCGUAAAGCGCGCGUAGGCGGCUACUUAAGUCGGAUGUGAAAGCCCUUGGCUCAACUGAGGAAGUGCACCCGAAACUGAGUGGCUUGAGUACUAAAGAGGGUCGCGGAAUUCCCGGUGUAGAGGUGAAAUUCGUAGAUAUCGGGAGGAACACCGGUGGCGAAGGCGGCGACCUGGGUCGAUACUGACGCUGAGGCGCGAAAGCGUGGGGAGCAAACAGG
rnacentral:rRNA from 1 species